AAGCCCGGUGAUGCUAAAAAUAAACUUUCGUUCUACUGAGCAGUCUAACAACUGUGCAGAAACAAUUUAUUGGAGACCUGAACUGAGGGCUU
rnacentral:snoRNA from 1 species